UCCAGAGCAGGGACCCACUGGCAACAUGAUAAGGAGACAAGUCCUCAACAGCAGCUAAAAGGAAAAGGGAGUGAAGGAAGAAAAUAACCAAUUUCAGGAGAGGUCUAGAGCUCUGCCUUCACCUUGGCAAUAGCUUUUUCCCUCACUCAGGCCAGAAUUACAAGGGAUGGCUGGGAUAUAGUUGCAAAUAAAGUGCAAGCAAUUCUUUAAAUCAUAAAACCCUAAGACAAGCAUCAAAUGCUGAUUUGUAUGGUGCUCUCUAGAGUCCUGCUUGCGAUAAAACGCUAUCCUAAGGUAUCUACAGUUGUAAACUUCCAUUUUAAGAUUCAUAACUCUACACAAGUUUAAUGGAAAUCAAUAGAUCCAGGAAUCCUAUAUUCUUCAUAAUUAGGAGAAAUGCCAGUCUUCAUCACAAUCCAGGGUGAGAUCUGUUUCAUCACGUGCCCCGACACUUUUCCACACACUGAAUAUGAGAGACAAAUAUCACCAUUUAUGCCUCACUGGGCAGGUGCAUUUUGCAGCUAAAUUAUAAAGAUAAAUGGAGCGGGUGGGACUCAGAACAGGGCUGUAGAAACAAGAGAUGAAAACAGAAGGGAGAGCAGAAGGAGAGGGGAGUCAGUGUUCAGUUCUGGAGGAAGUAAUCCAGAGAUACUUUGCAGCAUUCCGGUGUGAUCCAUACUUGUUUCUGGACAGCUUCUGACUGUAGUGUCUUCAUAGGCCUUAUUUAAAUGUGGCUCUUCAUGCCUGGCACCAGUCCAAGGCAACGAGCAUGGCCAUCACAAUUGUUUGUUGAAUCCUGGUUCUGGGACACAAUUUUAUAGAUGGUCCAUGUCUUGGGCUCAGAUUCUCCAGGAAGCAAACUGAGGUGGAGAUGAGCAUGUAGCUUAAUGUGUCAACAGCUGUGGGGCUGUAAAGGGAGUAGGAUUGGGCAGAGGGAGAAAAUGAAUGACAAAAGGCAUUAGUGGAUCCAGGAGGAGCUCUGGAGCUGGGAAGGUACUGCAGUGUUGUUCUGCUCUGAGGGAGGCAGGCCAGGCAUUUAGAUACUCACGGAUGUGGACCUAACCCUGGAGAGGGCAAGGGGGCUCUCUUCACCUGAAGGCUAUUCCUAGAAUCAGCUGAGAGUCAUCAACUGCCAACACUUCCAGAAGCAGGAGGAACUGGUGACUUAGUCCUGGAGGGGCCUGCACAGCACACCCCCAAAGAAAGAACUCUGCCAUCUUCCCUACCCUACCUACCACUACUGGCAUAGGAAUGGAGCAUGAGAGACCAAAUCUCCAGAAGGAAGAGAAAAAGACCUUCUGCCUCCAAUGUCUUCGUUCCUUGACCACUGUCCUCAUGGCCAGGCUCAGCUCAAAACUCAAACCUGACCUCCAUGAAGACUUCCUUCCUCAUGUUGAUUUUCUUACUCUGCAUUAACGUGAGAGUUCUACAUACGGAACUUAGUAUUUUUGUUUAAACAUUGUUUUAGAGUUGUUCAGUAAGUAUGCCUUUCCCUUCAACUAGCUGGCAUGAAACAUUAAAGAUGGCUGCAAUUUCUUUUGUA